rnacentral:rRNA from 1 species
AGUGAACGCUGGCGGUAGGCCUAACACAUGCAAGUCGAACGGCAGCACAGUAAGAGCUUGCUCUUACGGGUGGCGAGUGGCGGACGGGUGAGGAAUAUAUCGGAAUCUACUUUUUCGUGGGGGAUAACGUAGGGAAACCUACGCUAAUACCGCAUACGACCUACGGGUGAAAGCAGGGGAUCUUCGGACCUUGCGCGAUUGAAUGAGCCGAUGUCGGAGUAGCUAGUUGGCGGGGUAAAGGCCCACCAAGGCGACGAUCCGUAGCUGGUCUGAGAGGAUGAUCGGCCACACUGGAACUGAGACACGGUCCAGACUCCUACGGGAGGCAGCAGUGGGGAAUAUUGGACAAUGGUGGCGAGCCUGAUCCAGCCAUACCGCGUGGGUGAAGAAGGCCUUGGGGUUGUAAAGCCCUUUUGUUGGGAAAGAAAAGCAGCAGGUUGAUACCCCGCUGUUCUGACGGUACCCAAAAAAUAAGCACCGGCUAACUUCGUG